CCUCUCGUGGCACAUGGUGGAGGCUUCCCGAAAGUCCGACCUCCCAGCCUAGGCGUCCCCUAAGUGACCUUUGCAAAAGGAAGAGAGAGCUUCUCCUUUGGGCCCUGGACCAACGACUUGACAGUUUCUUCUUUGGAGACACCUGGCUUUGAGCGUUUCCUGGCAUCAGAAGUGGGAUCCAAAUAAGACUUUCAACAACUCUGAAGCCAGUGAGCAACCACCUGCUGGUCCCCACAGGACCCAAGGAGUCAGUGCGUUCUCACCGACCUUGCUGCUUUCUUUGUGUGUUGAACUCGCCAACUUUAUCAUGCAUACCUGUGUUCUGUUUGUUCUAGCUUCUUGCAAGAGGAUACUGUUAGAGGGAAAAGAGCAUUACUGAAGACAUAAACCUUUCAACACUUGGAUUUGAUGAACAGUAGUAAAAGUGGAGCUCAGGAAAGG